GACGUAGGGCGCAAGCGUUGUCCGGAUUUAUUGGGCGUAAAGAGCUCGUAGGCGGCUUGUUGCGUCGUCCGUGAAAACCUGUGGCUCAACUACAGGCUUGCGGUCGAUACGGGCGGGCUGGAGUUCGGUAGGGGAGACUGGAAUUCCUGGUGUAGCGGUGAAAUGCGCAGAUAUCAGGAGGAACACCGGUGGCGAAGGCGGGUCUCUGGGCCUUACCUGACGCUGAGGAGCGAAAAGCGUGGGGAGC
rnacentral:rRNA from 1 species